GACAGAGGGGGCAAGCGUUGCUCGGAUUUAUUGGGCGUAAAGAGCGUGUAGGCGGCCAGGUAGGUCUGCUGUGAAAACUCGAGGCUUAACCUCGAGAUGUCGGCGGAAACCAUCUGGCUAGAGUCCGGAAGAGGAGAGUGGAAUUCCUGGUGUAGCGGUGAAAUGCGCAGAUAUCAGGAAGAACACCCGUGGCGGAGGCGGCUCUCUGGGACGGUACUGACGCUGAGACGCGAAAGCGUGGGGAGCGAACAGG
rnacentral:rRNA from 1 species